rnacentral:rRNA from 1 species
UAAGCAAUACCUGAGUAAAGUGGCGCACGGGUGAGUAACACGUGACUAACCUACCCUGGAGUGGGGGAUAACUGAGGGAAACCUUAGCUAAUACCGCAUAAUACCUACGGGUCAAAGGAGCAAUUCGCUUCAGGAGGGGGUCGCGGCCGAUUAGUUAGUUGGCGGGGUAAUGGCCCACCAAGACAGUGAUCGGUAUCCGGCCUGAGAGGGCGCACGGACACACUGGAACUGAAACACGGUCCAG